UAUGCAAAUUUCGGUAUCUGUACAGCUAAGGAUAUAUACAUGUAUCAGCGAUGGUAUCUUGUAAUAAAUUGCAUACAGUGAAAGGGAGAUAGCAAGAUUCUUCAUCUUUAUUGUGUGUCUCAUUCACUGCAAAUAUCUCAAUUUCUUGUGCAAUCAGUUGCUCUGUGCCUUUCACUGGUGCUAGAAAAUGAAACAGCAUGACAAUAAAAUUUAAGCGUUCAUAUUUUUUUCAUUCUCUUUCCAUCUUCAGUGUGGAUUGAAACUGGAACAGAUAUCUCCUCCAUACUGGUACCAACAGCUGUUCAUGGUCGAGGAUUACUCUCUUUUUAACUCCAUUUGUUAAUUUC
rnacentral:lncRNA from 1 species